rnacentral:rRNA from 1 species
GGCGAACGGGUGAGUAACACGUGGGCAAUCUGCCCUUCACUCUGGGACAAGCCCUGGAAACGGGGUCUAAUACCGGAUAACACUCUGUCCCGCAUGGGACGGGGUUAAAAGCUCCGGCGGUGAAGGAUGAGCCCGCGGCCUAUCAGCUUGUUGGUGGGGUGAUGGCCUACCAAGGCGACGACGGGUAGCCGGCCUGAGAGGGCGACCGGCCACACUGGGACUGAGACACGGCCCAGACUCCUACGGGAGGCAGCAGUGGGGAAUAUUGCACAAUGGGCGAAAGCCUGAUGCAGCGACGCCGCGUGAGGGAUGACGGCCUUCGGGUUGUAAACCUCUUUCAGCAGGGAAGAAGCGAAAGUGACGGUACCUGCAGAAGAAGCGCCGGCUAACUACGUGCCAGCAGCCGCGGUAAUACGUAGGGCGCAAGCGUUGUCCGGAAUUAUUGGGCGUAAAGAGCUCGUAGGCGGCUUGUCACGUCGGAUGUGAAAGCCCGGGGCUUAACCC